rnacentral:rRNA from 1 species
AGUGAACGCUGGCGGUAGGCCUAACACAUGCAGGUCGAACCGCAGCACAGUAAGAGCUUGCUCUUACGGGUGGCGAGUGGCGGACGGGUGAGGAAUACAUCGGAAUCUACUUUUUCGUGGGGGAUAACGUAGGGAAACUUACGCUAAUACCGCAUACGACCUACGGGUGAAAGCAGGGGAUCUUCGGACCUUGCGCGAUUGAAUGAGCCGAUGUCGGAUUAGCUAGUUGGCGGGGUAAAGGCCCACCAAGGCGACGAUCCGUAGCUGGUCUGAGAGGAUGAUCAGCCACACUGGAACUGAGACACGGUCCAGACUCCUACGGGAGGCAGCAGUGGGGAAUAUUGGACAAUGGGCGCAAGCCUGAUCCAGCCAUACCGCGUGGGUGAAGAAGGCCUUCGGGUUGUAAAGCCCUUUUGUUGGGAAAGAAAAGCAGCAGGUUAAUACCCCGCUGUUCUGACGGUACCCAAAGAAUAAGCACCGGCUAACUUCGUG